GAUGAACGCUGACAGAAUGCUUAACACAUGCAAGUCGAUUCAAUUUACCUUCGGGUAAUGAGGAUGGCGGACGGGUGAGUAACGUGUAAGGAACUUGCCUCUUGGUCUGGGACAACUGUUGGAAACGACAGCUAAUACCAGAUAUUAUGAGAUUCUCGCGUGGGAAACUUAUGAAAGCUAUAUGCGCCAAGAGAGAGCCUUGCGUUCCAUUAGCUAGUUGGUGGGGUAACGGCCCACCAAGGCGACGAUGGAUAGCCGGCCUGAGAGGGUGAACGGCCACAAGGGGACUGAGACACGGCCCUUACUCCUACGGGAGGCAGCAGUGGGGAAUAUUGGACAAUGGACCAAAAGUCUGAUCCAGCAAUUCUGUGUGCACGAUGAAGGUCUUCGGAUUGUAAAGUGCUUUCAGUUGGGAAGAAGCAAGUGACGGUACCAACAGAAGAAGCGACGGCUAAAUACGUGCCAGCAGCCGCGGUAA
rnacentral:rRNA from 1 species